rnacentral:lncRNA from 1 species
CUGUGCAAACAUUGUGUUGAGAAUGUUCCGCCAAUCUGCUGCAGUUUUGAAUAUGCUGAGAAUGUUCUGAGGAUAUUCUAAGCACUUUGUUUGAAAACGUUGAGAACAUAUUUGGAAUAUGCUGCACACGGUUUCUGCUAAGAAUAUCCUAGGGUUAUUCCUGAUAGGGGCGGUUUUCUUCAAAUCGAGUACGGUAUUAUCACGGGCAACAGAUUUUUAAAAAAAUGAAAAUUGUGCGCGCUUUGUAGUGCUGCGCGAGUGUGGUGUCUGGCUGUCUGCCCAGUCUGCCGUACCGGCCCACCAAGCAACGAGAGCAACGCGAGGUGCAUUCUUUCAUGUUCUGUAGUUCUGUUCGGAUAGACUAUUUUGGAGUCUUCUCGCUCUUGUCCUUUUGGUCUGGAAGAAAAGUGAAUAAAAAAAGUCUUUCGUUUUCAACCUAGUUCACAGUUGUACUUUUUUUAUUUUUUCUCCCUUUUCGGGGAACACGUCAGCGAGUGCGCGUGUUUGGCCAAGUUUUGCAGAAAGUUGACUUAUCAGGCCACGGGUGCUAUUUUUGUUCUGGAAUUUCAACGUACUAGUGCUCCUCGUGACUCGUUGCCGCCGCUCGUACGAAUGAUUGCUACAGGUUGAUGUUAGUGUAGACUGGGUCUGUCGAUGAUGAAACGCAAUCUAUUGCCAUAUCAUGAAAGCCCCGUACGAACAAGGUACAGGAUC